GCCAUACCUACAAUUUGAAAUUUUAUUAGUUAUUAAAGCAAGAAACAGGGCCAUUUAACAAGAAUAGUACACUCAUAAAUAAAAGAGAGCCAUUACUCAGGACAGUUCUAGAUGCCAUGCUAAAAUUAAGAGAUCAGAAUAUGUGCAUCUCAUAUUGCCCUAUAUAUAAAAAAAUUUUCUAUGGUACAUGACAGUUCAAUGGUGUGCAACUGUGCAUCAGGAUUGGCACUAAAUAGACAAAGCAAUGACAAUCACAAGUUUAAAUGAUUAUAAGAUUAUAACAUAUUAUUAUCACCGUCAUCUUGUUGCCAAAGGUU
rnacentral:misc_RNA from 1 species